rnacentral:misc_RNA from 1 species
GAUGAAGAACGUAGUGAAAUGCGAUACGUAGUGUGAAUUGCAGAAUUCAGUGAAUCAUCGAAUCUUUGAACGCACAUUGCACCUCUCGGUAUUCCGGGAGGUAUGCCUGUUCGAGCGUCAUUUGUACCCUCAAGCUCUGCUUGGUGUUGGGUGUUUGUUCCGCCUCUGUGUGUGAACUCGCCUCAAAACAAUUGGCAGCCGGCGUACUUGUUUCGGAGCGCAGCACAUUUUGCGAUCCAGAUCAACGUAAAGCGGCAUCCAAGAAGCCUUAUUUAACGCUCUUGACCUCGGAUCAGGUAGGGAUACCCGCUGAACUUAAGCAUAUCAAUAAGCGGAGGA